rnacentral:rRNA from 1 species
UACGUAGGGUGCAAGCGUUGUCCGGAAUUAUUGGGCGUAAAGAGCUCGUAGGCGGUUUGUUGCGUCGGCUGUGAAAUCCCGAGGCUCAACCUCGGGUCUGCAGUCGAUACGAGCAAACUAGAGUGUUGCAGGGAGACUGGAAUUCCUGGUGUAGCGGUGAAAUGCGUAGAUAUCAGGAGGAACACCGGUGGUGUAGACGGCUAUCUGGACCGUAACUGACGCUGAGGCACGAAAGCGUGGGUAGCAAACAGG